rnacentral:misc_RNA from 1 species
AAUUUUUACAACUUCAGCUCAUGGAUGAAUUUAUCUGUGGAGAUUUGUGAUGCUCGCAUUACACAAUUCUUGACUCAAAAUAAAUAUGGGUUUCACAAAGGGAUGCAAAAUCUGGAGGGCAAUGGCUUGGAGAAUGAGCGCAAGCUUCCUUGCCAUGUACCGACAGAGCACAGGCAAGCUAUUUUGUCCCUGAAUGAAUCUGUAGCCUCUCUCCAUGGCAGAUAUAAGCACUCUGCUAGAUGAUCAAGUAAUAAAGAAGGGAAAAUUGAGACGCAAGAAAAAAGAUUUAUGGUCAUUGGCAGAUCAGAAUUUUGAGGGAUGCAAAAACGAACCUAGCUAGUUAAAUUAUUUGCUUUUGUGUAUUGCAAAUAGAAAAGAGCAGCACCUCCACAAGAACCCAACCAAUAAACCAAACAGAGAAUCUAGGAAAGGAUAUUACAUCCCACUUUCAAGCACUAACUUUCCUAUCUCAGGCCUCAGAAGCUGUCUGUUUCAAACAAUCGACAUUGCACAAUCCCACAGAUCUAACCAUGUCUCCCAACCGGUCGAAGCUGUUUCUUGCUCUCUCUGGCUGAUCAGUGCUGUUCCUUGCUUUUGCUGUGCGAUCAAUGCUCUUUCUCGACUUCUCUCUCCUGUCAGUGCUUGCUCUUCCUUUCUCUCUGCUGUCUGUGCUUAGCCUGGAUUUUUCUUUCUGCCCAGUACUAGGCCUAGCCUUAUCUCUAUGAUCUGUGCUUGGCCUUGAUUUUUCCUUAUUGGAAUCUGGGGUGUUCGAAGGCUGAUCAGGCUGAUCUGUGCUUUGUCCAGGUCCAUUUCUAAGAUGCGGAGGCAGCUUCUCAAUGGCAGAUAUGAACUUCCUGAGAUGCCUUAAGUACUCUGGGUAGAGUUCCAAGUUACAGUGGUUUCCUCCUUUGAGCCACAAGGGUUCAUACUUCUCUUUACAGAGCUCCCACAGCUGCUUACCAUGGGAAAAAUCCACAACUUCAUCUUCGGUUCCAUGAAUUACCAGAACUGGGCAAUUAACGAGCGGAAUCUUAUCAAUGUUCUUAUAAAUGUCGAACCAGAAAGUUUUCUUG